rnacentral:lncRNA from 1 species
CGUGUACGGCCCGCCCAUAGCUCCUUCGACGGCGCCGCCUAGGAACGCGGAGAAAAUAUGACAAAGGAACGGCCAAAAAUAAAAAGAAAGACCUUUCUUUUGAAAAAACAAACAAAAAAAAAGGAAUGCAACACGAGGACUUCCCAGGAGGUCACCCAUCCUAGUACUACUCUCGCCCAAGCACGCUUAACUUCGGAGUUCUGAUGGGAUCCGGUGCUUUAGUGCUGGUAUGAUCGCAUCCGACAUACCGUGCGUUCUCCUCCCCUUUAUGCCCGCGCCUCCGUGUACGGCCCGCCCAUAGCUCCUUCGACGGCGCCGCCUAGGAACGCGGAGAAAAUAUGACAAAGGAACGGCCAAAAAUAAAAAGAAAGACCUUUCUUUUGAAAAAACAAACAAAAAAAAGGAAUGCAACACGAGGACUUCCCAGGAGGUCACCCAUCCUAGUACUACUCUCGCCCAAGCACGCUUAACUUCGGAGUUCUGAUGGGAUCCGGUGCUUUAGUGCUGGUAUGAUCGCAUCCGACAUACCGUGCGUUCUCCUCCCCUUUAUGCCCGCGCCUCCGUGUACGGCCCGCCCAUAGCUCCUUCGACGGCGCCGCCUAGGAACGCGGAGAAAAUAUGACAAAGGAACGGCCAAAAAUAAAAAGAAAGACCUUUCUUUUGAAAAAACAAACAAAAAAAAGGAAUGCAACACGAGGACUUCCCAGGAGGUCACCCAUCCUAGUACUACUCUCGCCCAAGCACGCUUAACUUCGGAGUUCUGAUGGGAUCCGGUGCUCUAGUGCUGGUAUGAUCGCAUCCGACAUACCGUGCGUUCUCCUCCCCUUUAUGCCCGCGCCUCCGUGUACGGCCCGCCCAUAGCUCCUUCGACGGCGCCGCCUAGGAACGCGGAGAAAAUAUGACAAAGGAACGGCCAAAAAUAAAAAGAAAGACCUUUCUUUUGAAAAAACAAACAAAAAAAAAGGAAUGCAACACGAGGACUUCCCAGGAGGUCACCCAUCCUAGUACUACUCUCGCCCAAGCACGCUUAACUUCGGAGUUCUGAUGGGAUCCGGUGCUUUAGUGCUGGUAUGAUCGCAUCCGACAUACCGUGCGUUCUCCUCCCCUUUAUGCCCGCGCCUCCGUGUACGGCCCGCCCAUAGCUCCUUCGACGGCGCCGCCUAGGAACGCGGAGAAAAUAUGACAAAGGAACGGCCAAAAAUAAAAAGAAAGACCUUUCUUUUGAAAAAACAAACAAAUAAAAGGAAUGCAACACGAGGACUUCCUAGGAGGUCACCCAUCCUAGUACUACUCUCGCCCAAGCACGCUUAACUUCGGAGUUCUAAUGGGAUCCGGUGCUUUAGUGCUGGUAUGAUCGCAUCCGACAUACCGUGCGUUCUCCUCCCCUUUAUGCCCGCGCCUCCGUGUACGGCCCGCCCAUAGCUCCUUCGACGGCGCCGCCUAGGAACGCGGAGAAAAUAUGACAAAGGAACGGCCAAAAAUAAAAAGAAAGACCUUUCUUUUGAAAAAACAAACAAAAAAAAGGAAUGCAACACGAGGACUUCCCAGGAGGUCACCCAUCCUAGUACUACUCUCGCCCAAGCACGCUUAACUUCGGAGUUCUGAUGGGAUCCGGUGCUUUAGUGCUGGUAUGAUCGCAUCCGACAUACCGUGCGUUCUCCUCCCCUUUAUGCCCGCGCCUCCGUGUACGGCCCGCCCAUAGCUCCUUCGACGGCGCCGCCUAGGAACGCGGAGAAAAUAUGACAAAGGAACGGCCAAAAAUAAAAAGAAAGACCUUUCUUUUGAAAAAACAAACAAAAAAAAGGAAUGCAACACGAGGACUUCCCAGGAGGUCACCCAUCCUAGUACUACUCUCGCCCAAGCACGCUUAACUUCGGAGUUCUGAUGGGAUCCGGUGCUUUAGUGCUGGUAUGAUCGCAUCCGACAUACCGUGCGUUCUCCUCCCCUUUAUGCCCGCGCCUCCGUGUACGGCCCGCCCAUAGCUCCUUCGACGGCGCCGCCUAGGAACGCGGAGAAAAUAUGACAAAGGAACGGCCAAAAAUAAAAAGAAAGACCUUUCUUUUGAAAAAACAAACAAAAAAAAGGAAUGCAACACGAGGACUUCCCAGGAGGUCACCCAUCCUAGUACUACUCUCGCCCAAGCACGCUUAACUUCGGAGUUCUGAUGGGAUCCGGUGCUUUAGUGCUGGUAUGAUCGAAUCCGACAUACCGUGCGUUCUCCUCCCCUUUAUGCCCGCGCCUCCGUGUACGGUCCGCCCAUAGCUCCUUCGACGGCGCCGCCUAGGAACGCGGAGAAAAUAUGACAAAGGAACGGCCAAAAAUAAAAAGAAAGACCUUUCUUUUGAAAAAACAAACAAAUAAAAGGAAUGCAACACGAGGACUUCCCAGGAGGUCACCCAUCCUAGUACUACUCUCGCCCAAGCACGCUUAACUUCGGAGUUCUGAUGGGAUCCGGUGCUUUAGUGCUGGUAUGAUCGCAUCCGACAUACCGUGCGUUCUCCUCCCCUUUAUGCCCGCGCCUCCGUGUACGGCCCGCCCAUAGCUCCUUCGACGGCGCCGCCUAGGAACGCGGAGAAAAUAUGACAAAGGAACGGCCAAAAAUAAAAAGAAAGACCUUUCUUUUGAAAAAACAAACAAAUAAAAGGAAUGCAACACGAGGACUUCCCAGGAGGUCACCCAUCCUAGUACUACUCUCGCCCAAGCACGCUUAACUUCGGAGUUCUGAUGGGAUCCGGUGCUUUAGUGCUGGUAUGAUCGCAUCCGACAUACCGUGCGUUCUCCUCCCCUUUAUGCCCGCGCCUCCGUGUACGGCCCGCCCAUAGCUCCUUCGACGGCGCCGCCUAGGAACGCGGAGAAAAUAUGACAAAGGAACGGCCAAAAAUAAAAAGAAAGACCUUUCUUUUGAAAAAACAAACAAAAAAAAGGAAUGCAGCACCAGGACUUCCCGGAAGGUCACCCAUCCAAAUACAACUCUCGCCGAACCACGUUUAACUUCGAAUUUCUAAUGGAAUCCGGGGCUUUAGAGCUGGAAUGAUCGCAUCCGACAUACCGUGCGUUCUCCUCCCCUUUAUGCCCGCGCCUCCGUGUACGGCCCGCCCAUAGCUCCUUCGACGGCGCCGCCUAGGAACGCGGAGAAAAUAUGACAAAGGAGCGGCCAAAAAUAAAAAGAAAGACCUUUCUUUUGAAAAAACAAACAAAUAAAAGGAAUGCAACACGAGGACUUCCUAGGAGGUCACCCAUCCUAGUACUACUCUCGCCCAAGCACGCUUAACUUCGGAGUUCUGAUGGGAUCCGGUGCUUUAGUGCUGGUAUGAUCGCAUCCGACAUACCGUGCGUUCUCCUCCCCUUUAUGCCCGCGCCUCCGUGUACGGCCCGCCCAUAGCUCCUUCGACGGCGCCGCCUAGGAACGCGGAGAAAAUAUGACAAAGGAACGGCCAAAAAUAAAAAGAAAGACCUUUCUUUUGAAAAAACAAACGCCUCCGUGUACGGCCCGCCCAUAGCUCCUUCGACGGCGCCGCCUAGGAACGCGGAGAAAAUAUGACAAAGGAACGGCCAAAAAUAAAAAGAAAGACCUUUCUUUUGAAAAAACAAACAAAAAAAAGGAAUGCAACACGAGGACUUCCCAGGAGGUCACCCAUCCUAGUACUACUCUCGCCCAAGCACGCUUAACUUCGGAGUUCUGAUGGGAUCCGGUGCUUUAGUGCUGGUAUGAUCGCAUCCGACAUACCGUGCGUUCUCCUCCCCUUUAUGCCCGCGCCUCCGUGUACGGCCCGCCCAUAGCUCCUUCGACGGCGCCGCCUAGGAACGCGGAGAAAAUAUGACAAAGGAACGGCCAAAAAUAAAAAGAAAGACCUUUCUUUUGAAAAAACAAACAAAUAAAAGGAAUGCAACACGAGGACUUCCCAGGAGGUCACCCAUCCUAGUACUACUCUCGCCCAAGCACGCUUAACUUCGGAGUUCUGAUGGGAUCCGGUGCUUUAGUGCUGGUAUGAUCGCAUUCGACAUACCGAUGCGUUCUCAUCCCCGUUAUGCGCCGCGCCUCUGUGUACGGCCCGCCCAUAGCUCCUUUGACUGCGCCUCGUAGGAUCGCGGAGAAUAUAUGACAAAGGCACGGCCAAACAUAAAACGAAAGACCUCUCUUUUGCAACAACAAACAAAAUAAAGGAAUGCAACACGAGGACUUCCCAGGAGGUCACCCAUCCUAGUACUAGUCUCGCUCAAGCACGCUGAUCUUCGGAGUUCUGAUGGGAUCCGGUGCUUUAGUGCUGGUAUGAUCGCAUCCGACAUACCGUGCGUUCUCCUCCCCUUUAUGCCCGCGCCUCCGUGUACGGCCCGCCCAUAGCUCCUUCGACGGCGCCGCCUAGGAACGCGGAGAAAAUAUGACAAAGGAACGGCCAAAAAUAAAAAGAAAGACCUUUCUUUUGAAAAAACAAACAAAAAAAAGGAAUGCAACACGAGGACUUCCCAGGAGGUCACCCAUCCUAGUACUACUCUCGCCCAAGCACGCUUAACUUCGGAGUUCUGAUGGGAUCCGGUGCUUUAGUGCUGGUAUGAUCGCAUCCGACAUACCGUGCGUUCUCCUCCCCUUUAUGCCCGCGCCUCCGUGUACGGCCCGCCCAUAGCUCCUUCGACGGCGCCGCCUAGGAACGCGGAGAAAAUAUGACAAAGGAACGGCCAAAAAUAAAAAGAAAGACCUUUCUUUUGAAAAAACAAACAAAUAAAAGGAAUGCAACACGAGGACUUCCCAGGAGGUCACCCAUCCUAGUACUACUCUCGCCCAAGCACGCUUAACUUCGGAGUUCUGAUGGGAUCCGGUGCUUUAGUGCUGGUAUGAUCGCAUCCGACAUACCGUGCGUUCUCCUCCCCUUUAUGCCCGCGCCUCCGUGUACGGCCCGCCCAUAGCUCCUUCGACGAGCCCGCCUAGGAACGCGGAGAAAAUAUGACAAAGGAACGGCCAAAAAUAAAAAGAAAGACCUUUCUUUUGAAAAAACAAACAAAUAAAAGGAAUGCAACACGAGGACUUCCCAGGAGGUCACCCAUCCUAGUACUACUCUCGCCCAAGCACGCUUAACUUCGGAGUUCUGAUGGGAUCCGGUGCUUUAGUGCUGGUAUGAUCGCAUCCGACAUACCGUGCGUUCUCCUCCCCUUUAUGCCCGCGCCUCCGUGUACGGCCCGCCCAUAGCUCCUUCGACGGCGCCGCCUAGGAACGCGGAGAAAAUAUGACAAAGGAACGGCCAAAAAUAAAAAGAAAGACCUUUCUUUUGAAAAAACAAACAAAAAAAAGGAAUGCAACACGAGGACUUCCCAGGAGGUCACCCAUCCUAGUACUACUCUCGCCCAAGCACGCUUAACUUCGGAGUUCUGAUGGGAUCCGGUGCUUUAGUGCUGGUAUGAUCGCAUCCGACAUACCGUGCGUUCUCCUCCCCUUUAUGCCCGCGCCUCCGUGUACGGCCCGCCCAUAGCUCCUUCGACGGCGCCGCCUAGGAACGCGGAGAAAAUAUGACAAAGGAACGGCCAAAAAUAAAAAGAAAGACCUUUCUUUUGAAAAAACAAACAAAUAAAAGGAAUGCAACACGAGGACUUCCCAGGAGGUCACCCAUCCUAGUACUACUCUCGCCCAAGCACGCUUAACUUCGGAGUUCUGAUGGGAUCCGGUGCUUUAGUGCUGGUAUGAUCGCAUCCGACAUACCGUGCGUUCUCCUCCCCUUUAUGCCCGCGCCUCCGUGUACGGCCCGCCCAUAGCUCCUUCGACGGCGCCGCCUAGGAACGCGGAGAAAAUAUGACAAAGGAACGGCCAAAAAUAAAAAGAAAGACCUUUCUUUUGAAAAAACAAACAAAUAAAAGGAAUGCAACACGAGGACUUCCCAGGAGGUCACCCAUCCUAGUACUACUCUCGCCCAAGCACGCUUAACUUCGGAGUUCUGAUGGGAUCCGGUGCUUUAGUGCUGGUAUGAUCGCAUCCGACAUACCGUGCGUUCUCCUCCCCUUUAUGCCCGCGCCUCCGUGUACGGUCCGCCCAUAGCUCUUUAGUUGGCGCCUCCUAGGAACGCGGAGAAAAUAUGACAAAGGAACGGCCAAAAAUAAAAAGAAAGACCUUUCUUUUGAAAAAACAAACGCCUCCGUGUACGGCCCGCCCAUAGCUCCUUCGACGGCGCCGCCUAGGAACGCGGAGAAAAUAUGACAAAGGAACGGCCAAAAAUAAAAAGAAAGACCUUUCUUUUGAAAAAACAAACAAAAAAAAGGAAUGCAACACGAGGACUUCCCAGGAGGUCACCCAUCCUAGUACUACUCUCGCCCAAGCACGCUUAACUUCGGAGUUCUGAUGGGAUCCGGUGCUUUAGUGCUGGUAUGAUCGCAUCCGACAUACCGUGCGUUCUCCUCCCCUUUAUGCCCGCGCCUCCGUGUACGGCCCGCCCAUAGCUCCUUCGACGGCGCCGCCUAGGAACGCGGAGAAAAUAUGACAAAGGAACGGCCAAAAAUAAAAAGAAAGACCUUUCUUUUGAAAAAACAAACAAAUAAAAGGAAUGCAACACGAGGAGUUCCCAGGAGGUCACCCAUCCUAGUACUACUCUCGCCCAAGCACGCUUAACUUCGGAGUUCUGAUGGGAUCCGGUGCUUUAGUGCUGGUAUGAUCGCAUCCGACAUACCGUGCGUUCUCCUCCCCUUUAUGCCCGCGCCUCCGUGUACGGCCCGCCCAUAGCUCCUUCGAUGGCGCCGCCUAGGAACGCGGAGAAAAUAUGACAAAGGAACGGCCAAAAAUAAAAAGAAAGACCUUUCUUUUGAAAAAACAAACGCCUCCGUGUACGGCCCGCCCAUAGCUCCUUCGACGGCGCCGCCUAGGAACGCGGAGAAAAUAUGACAAAGGAACGGCCAAAAAUAAAAAGAAAGACCUUUCUUUUGAAAAAACAAACAAAAAAAAGGAAUGCAACACGAGGACUUCCCAGGAGGUCACCCAUCCUAGUACUACUCUCGCCCAAGCACGCUUAACUUCGGAGUUCGGAUGGGAUCCGGUGCUUUAGUGCUGGUAUGAUCGCAUCCGACAUACCGUGCGUUCUCCUCCCCUUUAUGCCCGCGCCUCCGUGUACGGCCCGCCCAUAGCUCCUUCGACGGCGCCGCCUAGG